rnacentral:tRNA from 1 species
AUUAGGGUGGCAGAGCCCGGUUAUGUAAGAAGCCUAAGAUUUCCGCACAGAGAUUCAAAUCCUCUCCCUAAUA